GAUGAACGCUAGCGGCAGGCCUAAUACAUGCAAGUCGAACGAUAUUAUCCAGCUUGCUGGAUAUGAAAGUGGCGCACGGGUGCGUAACGCGUAUGCAACCUACCUUAUUCAGGGGGAUAGCCCGAAGAAAUUCGGAUUAACACCGCAUAAAAUCACAGUUCAGCAUUGGACAAUGAUCAAAUAUUUAUAGUCAUAAGAUGGGCAUGCGUGUCAUUAGCUAGUUGGCGGGGUAACGGCCCACCAAGGCGACGAUGACUAGGGGAUCUGAGAGGAUGGCCCCCCACACUGGUACUGAGACACGGACCAGACUCCUACGGGAGGAAGCAGUAAGGAAUAUGGGUCACUGGAGGGAACUCUGAUACAGCCAUGCCGCGUGCAGGAAGACGGCCCUCUGGGUUGUAAACUGCUUUUAUUCGGGAAUAAACCUAUUUACGUGUAAAUAGCUGAAUGUACCGAAGGAAUAAGGAUCGGCUAACUCCGUGCCAGCAGCCGCCGUAA
rnacentral:rRNA from 1 species